UAUUCACCAAUUGGGUUGAAUAUUAUGAGUUCGUCCAAACAACUCAAUUUUUCUAGUGCCUGGUGACAGUCGUUCAAUAAUUCCAUAUAUUUCAUCUGGCUUAUGACUAGUAUCUCGUACUUCGGCUACAAUCACAUCACAAUCCAAACCACAGUUAAGGUUUACAGGAUUGCCUUUCAUGCCCACCUAUUAUACAACACAUAGAAUAAUAAAAUCGGUUAUAAAACUAAUAUUCAAAAUGUAUGGACUUACUAAACAGUGUUCUUUGCCAUGAUUAAGCCAAUGGCCCGUUCUACCUGUCCUUAUAAUUCUCUGUAACUGAUUAGUCUUUACCCAAACUAUCUCGUCUAUUCGUUUGUAACCCCAUUGUUUUAAACAUUCUCUACCGAGCUCCAUAGCUCUAAAAAAAUAUAUUGAAUUUGAUUGCAAUAAGAAUUAUUAAAAACAAUAAACAAUAUUGGUGCAAUACCCUAUCUAUCACUCAAUUGUUU